rnacentral:rRNA from 1 species
CGUAGGGCGAGCGUUGUCCGGAAUCAUUGGGCGUAAAGAGCGUGUAGGCGGCCCGGUAAGUCCGCUGUGAAACCCGGGCUCAACCCCGGGCGUGCAGUGGAAACUGCCGGGCUAGAGGGCGGCAGAGGCGAGUGGAAUUCCCGGUGUAGCGGUGAAAUGCGCAGAUAUCGGGAGGAACACCGGUAGCGAAGGCGGCUCGCUGGGCCGUUCCUGACGCUGAGACGCGAAAGCUAGGGGAGCGAACAGGAUU